rnacentral:rRNA from 1 species
UACGGAGGGUGCGAGCGUUACCCGGAUUUACUGGGCGUAAAGGGCGUGUAGGCGGUCUCUCAAGUCCGCUGCUAAAGACCGAGGCUCAACCUCGGGAGUGCGUUGGAUACUGUGAGGCUAGACGGCCGGAGAGGGCAGCGGAAUUCUCGGAGUAGCGGGGAAAUGCGCAGAUACCGAGAGGAACGCCAAUAGCGAAGGCAGCUGCCUGGACGAUCUGUGACGCUGGGGCGCGAAAGCGUGGGGAGCAAACCGG